UGGAGCGGCUGUGAACGCGGUCAGAGCAACGUCCUCACAAGACGUCGGUCGCGGGUUCGAGCCUCGUCUGCCCCACCC
rnacentral:tRNA from 1 species